rnacentral:rRNA from 1 species
UGCCAGCAGCCGCGGUAAUACAGAGGGUGCGAGCGUUAAUCGGACUUACUGGGCGUAAAGGGCUCGUAGGUGGUUUAUUAAGUUGGAUGUGAAAUUCCCGGGCUUAACCUGGGCGGGCCAUCCAAAACUGGUAGGCUAGAGUGUGGUAGAGGGUAGUGGAAUUUCCGGUGUAGCGGUGAAAUGCGUAGAUAUCGGAAGGAACACCGGUGGCGAAGGCGACUACCUGGGCCAUUACUGACACUGAGGGGCGAAAGCGUGGGUAGCGAACAGGAUUAGAUA